CUAUUUUUUAAAGGCAUUAUUGGUUUUCCUUUUGUUACGUACUGAUAUGAAAGUGAAAGUAGAAACCUUGAAACCAUUGUGACUGUCAGUUGGUGUUUAUGUAUGCUGAGAUGGCUGUCAAGUCGAUUCUUUCAUCAACUUAAUAACAAGUGUUUGUUUUUAUGGCCUAUAGAUGCAUGCAGUAACUUGAGUUCAGUGUCACAUUGCUGCGUCUAAAAAGCCCAAAGCUGAUAAGACUGGCGAUUGAUCCUAAAGCUGAUUUGACAGACGAUUGCAUCUUCACAAUAUAUAACAAAUGUUCAAUAUACAGUCAGCGUCUCAUAAGAAUAAAUCCCAAGAUCCAAGACUUGCUUAAAAGCUGAAUUAAGAGACCAUUCUGUGCCACAAAGAAAUUGUUCAGGAAAGGGAGAAAUGGUGGAUUUGCAUUUUGGGUACUGUUCAAAGAGAGUUCAAAAUGGUCAAGCUCAUGGAAGAUCAGAGGGAGG